rnacentral:ncRNA from 1 species
CCAAAGGCCCUUUUAAGGGCCACCCACUAUAUCCUAAUAGAGCUGU